UGCACAGUGAGGAGCACGGAUCGCUGGCUCCGGACACCCCGCAUCCUUCUGGGUCCCUGGGCGCCUGGAAGCCGGCAGGCUCAGAAUAUUCCAGGAACAUCCGGACGUGUCCACUAGGGUUCCAGCGGCUGAUGGCGGACUUUUGGAUCUGGAGACAGAAGCCUGGAGAGGACCCAGGUGGGGACUCAGCUUACAGAAUGUAGACUGCAUGAGCAUCCACUGCGUAAUUGUUCAGCUUCAGUGGGUUGACUGGUGUGCCCCUCUCCUCACAAGAUAUGUUCACCUGAGACCUGUGAAUGUGAGCCAAUUUGGAAAAAGGGUCUUUGAGAUGUAAUUAAAGUAGGGAUCUCAAGACGAGAUCAUUCUGGAUUAUCUGAACAGGGCCUACACCCAACGGCAAGUGUCUUUAUAAGAGAUGAAAGAGGAGAAGACACAAACACAGAGGAGGCCAUGUAAAGAUGGAAACGGAGAUUGGAAUGCACAGCUGGAGCCACCAGAAGCUGAAAGAGACAAGGAAGGAUCCUCUCCUAGAAACUUCGGAGGGAGCGUGGCCCUGC